GAAGACAGAGUGACCCAGCCAGCAGGAGAUGUCAUUGCUGCUGAAGGAGACACAGUUACACUUGGCUGCACUUUUGAGACAACAUCUACAUCUUCCUAUUUGUUCUGGUACAAACAAGAAGAAAAUGAUUACCCAAAGUUUAUGCUGCAACGGUACUCUGGAACACAGGAUAACCCUUUAGAGGAAGAGAGAGUUGAUGCCACUAUCAACAAGACAUCAGUUCCUCUGAAGAUCCAGAAGCUUCAGCUGUCUGACUCUGCUGUGUACUACUGUGGAGACACAAUCUCUCCUGAACAAGAGGAAGUCAGUGGAAGAGAAGGACAAUCUGUCACACUCGCAUGUAACUAUCAGACAACAGCAAGUUAUCCUGACCUUUACUGGUACAAACAUCAUUCUGACCUUCAGGCACCUCAGUUUAUACUCUGGAAAGGAGCAAAAGAUAACUCAGAUGAACAUAUUCCUGAUAGAAGAUAUGAAUCUGAAACAUCAGCAACAUCAACUACACUGACCAUCAGAGAUCUAACCCUGGCAGACACAGCUCUCUACUACUGUGUCAGCGGCCCUCAGGUGAGCUAG